CAGCGACGGGGGCCGCGCUCGCUUCCGGGUCCGGGUCCGGGUCCGGUGUCGGGUUCUGAGGUCGCUCCCUCACGGCUACUUGUGUUGCUGGUCACGGCCCCUAGUAGCCGCAGUGGGCUGCUCUGGGCUACAGAGCGUCGAGGUGGGUGGGACUAGGUGCCGGAGUGAGCCAGGGGCGUUUUCAGGGAGGCAAAGGGGGAGACGGCUUCUAAGGGUACAAUGAGGUAAACACAAGUUGUUUUGACAUCAGGAGGACACUGAAGUGCGUUAGGGAGUCCGUGCGGCGGGCCGGCGUCCUUGUAACUUACCUCGACAGUGCCGGGCAGAAGUCCCUUUUGCGUCAGGUUGUGGUGGCCUGGUGAGGUUGAGGCGGUAGGCAACGGUGCCCGAGACCCUCCCUCACACGCGAGCGCCCCUCCCCCGAUUCCGACAGCCUUCCUACUGCUUUCGUGACAGGAAACAGCUCGCCAAGCACCUGGAAGCCCCUUUCCGAGUUCCCUCCAGCGCACAGGCUGUGGGAGGACAGUCUGCAUUGGCCCGAGGCUCGGUGACCUCAACGUGCGUCUCCACAACCUAUGUGGACCCAGUGGCUGGAAUUCUAGCAGUCAUUAAGAACAUGAGGAUGCAGAUCUCUCCAUGAAGACCAAAGGAUCCAAGGUUCCUGAUGACAUCAUAGAACUGCCAUACUGGCCUUGGGGUACUGCCUCUUUGAAGUCACUGUUUGGUGGUGUUUCUCUGAUGAGGUGUUCAUAGGAAAACACAGUUCCUAAGCAGGACACAAACACUGACCUUGAGGAGCUCAGAGUGUGGAGAGAAGAAAUAUGCAAAGAUAAAGUGAGCAUUUUAGAGAACUCAGAGAGUUUGUUAAUGAAAGAAAAACCCUUCUGGAAGUGGAAGAAGGAAAGUAGCAGUGUCUGUGCAGGCUAAGAUGCUGGUGAAUAAACUCCACGGCUAUUGAAGUGGGCCUUCCCGGCUGUCCUUGGAACCUGGGAUGCCGAUUGCCUCCUUGAGCAAAGAACCUCUGGUAAUGGGAACACAAAAUAAAAAUUUUCUGUUUGGACAAAUUCCACAUAUACAAUUGUAUUCAGGUUUCCUAUAUUUCUUCAGUCUUUAAAGUGUAAAAGCGUUGCUUAAUAUCUCUUUCUGAACUAAUGUUUCAAGAUAGGUCAUGAUUUCUCCCCAAGGCAGUGAUCAUAAGCUAAUCUUCGUUGGAAAGCAUCCAAGUAUAUAAUCUCAGUAAUGCUACUCUUAUCUUAGUUAUUGUGAGUAAAUCAUUGGCAGUGAAUGUAUUUUUUUUUUUUUUUGACAAUGUGAAAACACGCCCUUUCCUGGCGCAGGUUCUGUGCCCGUGUUUCUUCCGCCUGCUGUAGUACUGGGCUUUGACUCCAAGCAGCUGGGUUGCUCGGGGCUGCAGUUACCCAAUGUCUCCUGCAAUUAUGACCGGCCUCCUUCCUCUCUGUGCGAGCCUGCUACUGAUGUCUGGCGUUGGCGAGGCAGGCAAGCUGCUGGUGGUUCCCAUGGAUGGGAGCCACUGGUUUACCAUGCGCUUGGUCGUGGAGAAACUCAUCCAGAGAGGGCACGAGUUGGUCGUAGUCAUGCCAGAGGUGAGUUGGCAACUGGGACAAUCGCUGAAUUGUACAGUGAAGACCUACGCGACGUCUUACACUCUGGAAGAUAUGGAUCGUGAACUCUUGGCUUUUGCCAAAACUCAGUGGAAAAUUCGGGAAGACAGCAUACUUUCCCUUAGCAAGGGUUCAGCCUACAAUCUUUUUGAAAUAUUUUUUUCACAUUGUAGGAGUUUGUUUAAUGACAAGAAAUUAGUGGAAUACUUAAAAGAAAAUUCUUUUGAUGCAGUGUUUCUAGAUCCCUUUGAUAUGUGUGGCUUAAUUGUUGCCAAAUAUUUUUCACUCCCUUCCGUGGUGUUCACCAGGGGAGUAUUUUGCCAUUAUCUGGAGGAGGCUACACAGUGCUCCUAUCCUCCUUCAUACGUUCCCAGAAAUUUCUUAAGCUUCUCAGAUACAAUGACCUUCAAGGAAAGAAUUUGGAACCAUCUCAGUUACUUUCAGGAACGUUUACUUUGCUCCUAUUUUUUCAAAAGUGUCUUAGAAAUUGCUUCUGAAGUUCUCCCAAAGCCUGUCACGCUAUAUGAUCUCUUCAGCCACACAUCGAUUUGGUUGUUACGGACUGACUUUGUUUUGGAACAUCCCAAACCUCUGAUGCCCAACAUGGUCUACAUUGGUGGCAUCAACUGCCAGCAGGGGAAACCUUUGUUGAAGGUAGGUUCUUUCUCCUUUAGCAUGCAAAGAAUAAUAUGUUUUUGGAAAUAUUUUUAAAAAGACUCCUGUUCAACUCUGAUUUGUGAUUAACUGUCAUUGUUUCUAGUUUAACAAAUGAUCUUGUGCCAGCUCCUUGUUUUGGGGCAUUAGCAAAGGUUGCAAGGCUUUCCUCAUUGAGAUGUACAUGUAUGCACUUGACCUCACUGUAUGUUCUUUGCAAGCUGCAUUUUUUAAAUACUGCUUUUGGAAAAAUAGUGAAAAACAUAGUGUGAAACCCAGUGUCCUUUUUUGCUUAUCCUAAGACAUAUCUUAGAAAAUUCUAUUAGUAGUUUUGUAUGCAUCUGUUUACAGUAUAUAUGUGUAUCUGUAAUGUACAUUUUUAUACUUGUUUAAUUAAAAUAAAAUCUGAUAUCAGGAUGGACAUACUGGACUGUAUCAUGCAAUUUUCACUUGCCAAUCAAUCGUAGCCAUCUUCAUAGGUCAAAGCAUAAAAUUUUGUAUGGUUUUGUAAGACUGCAAGAAAGUCUUUAGAUGAACUUUAGUUUUUUCAAGCAGUCAAUAGUAAUACAUUUUUAAGCUUUUCUCCUUUCUGCUGUUAUGUGCAAAACUGCACUAAACAUUCUUAAGUACUUCCUGGUGCUGAGAAAUUUCAGUGUUCUUGCUUUUUAAUCAGUAGACAUUAGCCUGAGCAGUAGGGUCACAGGGUCUAUGCACAUAUCACAUUGUAAUGAAUUUGAGAGUGUGCUUUCCUGAUGUUGAAAAGCCUCACCUUUCAUCUAUAAGGACUGUAGCUUUUGGUACCCUUAGAUUUCUGGGCAAAAAGAUUGUGUGUAGCUGCUUCAGUUUUUACUUCCUAUUUUCAUAGGUAUCGGUUACUUAUAUUUCCUGUUUUGAGAAUGACAUAGGCAUAUUGUUCAAUAGUUGUUAAAAAUUAUACAUUUUAUUUAUGCACUUUACAUUUAUUUACACUUGUUAUUUAUUCAUGUAUAAAUACAAAAUAUUUAAUAAGUGUCACAAUAAAAUAGAAAUACACAUAGCCUGUAGCAAAUCUUUUUUUCCAUUUUUUAAAUUGGUAUAAUGUGAACAAAUUUCAUGUAUUUCUUUUUUUUU